UUGACCUCGGAUCAGGUAGGGAUACCCGCUGAACUUAAGCAUAUCAAUAAGCGGAGGAAAAGAAACCAACAGGGAUUGCCUCAGUAACGGCGAGUGAAGCGGCAAGAGCUCAAAUUUGAAAGCUGGCUCCUUCGGGGUCCGCAUUGUAAUUUGCAGAGGAUGCUUCGGGAGUGGCCCCCAUCUAAGUGCCCUGGAACGGGCCGUCAUAGAGGGUGAGAAUCCCGUCUGGGAUGGGGUGCCCACGCCCGUGUGAAGCUCCUUCGACGAGUCGAGUUGUUUGGGAAUGCAGCUCUAAAUGGGUGGUAAAUUUCAUCUAAAGCUAAAUACUGGCCGGAGACCGAUAGCGCACAAGUAGAGUGAUCGAAAGAUGAAAAGCACUUUGAAAAGAGAGUUAAACAGCACGUGAAAUUGUUGAAAGGGAAGCGCUUGCGACCAGACUCGCUCGCGGGGUUCAGCCGGCCUUCGGGCCGGUGUACUUCCCCGCGGGCGGGCCAGCGUCGGUUUGGGCGGCCGGUCAAAGGCCCUCGGAAUGUAACGCCCCCCGGGGCGUCUUAUAGCCGAGGGUGCCAUGCGGCCAGCCCGGACCGAGGAACGCGCUUCGGCUCGGACGCUGGCAUAAUGGUCGUAAGCGACC
rnacentral:rRNA from 1 species